CCUACGGGUGGCUGCAGUGGGGAAUAUUGCACAAUGGGCGCAAGCCUGAUGCAGCCAUGCCGCGUGUGUGAAGAAGGCCUUCGGGUUGUAAAGCACUUUCAGCGGGGAGGAAGGCGUUAAGGUUAAUAACCUUGGCGAUUGACGUUACCCGCAGAAGAAGCACCGGCUAACUCCGUGCCAGUAGCCGCGGUAAUACGGAGGGUGCAAGCGUUAAUCGGAAUUACUGGGCGUAAAGCGCACGCAGGCGGUCUGUCAAGUCGGAUGUGAAAUCCCCGGGCUCAACCUGGGAACUGCAUUCGAAACUGGCAGGCUAGAGUCUUGUAGAGGGGGGUAGAAUUCCAGGUGUAGCGGUGAAAUGCGUAGAGAUCUGGAGGAAUACCGGUGGCGAAGGCGGCCCCCUGGACAAAGACUGACGCUCAGGUGCGAAAGCGUGGGGAGCAAACAGGAUUAGAUACCCGGGUAGUC
rnacentral:rRNA from 1 species